rnacentral:tRNA from 1 species
GCCGGUGUAGCUCAGGGGUAGAGCGUUUCCUUGGUAAGGAAGAGGUCAGCAGUUCAAAUCUGCUCAUUGGCU